rnacentral:tRNA from 2 species
AGUCUUAUAUUCAAAAAAUGAUUUUAAAUUGCAAAUUUAAAGGUAAAGAAAACUUUUAAGGCUU